rnacentral:lncRNA from 1 species
AAGCCUUGAAACCCGAAAAUGUGACAGGUGAGAAAUUGAGAGGGAUGGAUAAAAACCUAGAAGUCAAGGAGGACGGAGCUCGCUACCUCAUGAACCGGAUCUGGACACCGAAGUUCGAUGGGUUCCGAGACGUUGUCAUGAACGAAGCACACAAGACACGAUAUUCCAUCCAUCCAGGUUUGGAUAAGAUGUAUUUAGACCUCAAGAAGUUGUAUUGGUGGCCGAACAUGAAAGCUGAGAUUGCUACCUAUAAGGGCAAGUGUCUGACUUGCGCCAAGGUCAAGGUAGAAUACCAGAAGCCAUCAGGACUACUACAACAUCCGGAUAUACCUGAGUGGAAGUGGGAGCGGAUAACCAUGGAUUUCAUAACCAAGCUACCUAAGACAUCGAGUGGGCUUGACACCAUAUGGGUAAUCGUAGACAGAUUGACCAAGUCUGCGCACUUCCUACCAAUAAAGGAAACCGACAAGAUGGAAAUGUUAACCAGGACAUACAUCAAGGAGAUUGUGCGACUGCAUGGUGUACCAAUAUCCAUUAUCUCUGACCGAGAUAGUAGAUUCACCUCGCGAUUUUGACAGUCCUUACAGAAAUCUCUGGGAACUAGGCUAGAUAUGAGUACGACCUAUCAUCCGCAAACCGACGGGCAGAGCGAGCGCACCAUACAGACGUUAGAAGACAUGUUGAGAGCCUGUGUGAUAGACUUUGGUAAGGCGUGGGAUACUCAUUUACUGCUUAUCGAAUUUUCCUAUAAUAACAACUAUCACACUAGCAUUGGAGUUGCUCCAUUCGAAGCUCUCUACAGUCGCAAGUGUAGAUCACCUCUGUGUUGGGCCGAAGUGGGGGAUACUCAGCUAGCUAGGGGGCAAGUCCCUGAUAGCACCCUUACCGGGCCUGAAAUCAUAAGGGAGACCACAAAAAAGAUUGUUCAAAUUUGGGAAAGACUGAAGGCGUCUCGUGAUCGACAAAAGAGUUACGGAAACAAGCAACGCAAACCCUUGGAAUUCCUAGUCGGAGAUCGAGUACUAAUAAAAGUUUCCCCUUGGAAAGGAAUGAUACGCUUUGGUAAGCGUGGGAAACUAAACCUGAGGUACAUCGGGCCAUUUGAAAUCCUUGCCAGGAUUGGUCCUGUGGCGUACAAACUCCGAUUACCACAAGAACUUAAUAACGUACACCCUACCUUCCACGUAUUAAACUUGAAAAAGUUCCUAUCGGAUGAGACACUUGUAAUACCUCUCGAUGAAAUUGAAGUUAACGACAAUCUCCACUUCGUGGAAGAACCAGUCGAAGUCAUGGAUCGAGAGAUCAAGCGAACAAAACAGAGUCGUAUUCCUAUUGUAAAGGUUCGCUGGAACGCUAAACGGGGACCUGCAUUCACCUGGGAACGCGAAGAUCAAAUGAAACAAAAAUACCCACAUCUUUUUUCCUAACUCUUAAAGUCCCAGUCAAAACGUAAAUUUCGGGAUGAAAUUCCCUUUAACGGGGGGAUGAUGUGACAAUAGUCAAAUCCGGGUCAAGUCGAAGUCAAACAAAGUCAAUAAGCUAAACCGGACGACUCAAUUAGCUCUUGUGUAUUAGGGUUUACGUGGUGUAUUUACUAAACAAUCCGUUAUUUUAAUGAGAAAGCAUCAUUUGAAAAAUCCAUGUGAUGUAAUUCUUCCUAAGCCUUAAAUGCGGUAAACAAUGAACCAAAGUGAUAAAACACAAAUGAACACUCAUCGGGAGUGUGUAAGACAUUAAAACAUGGCUUAAUGAGGUUUACGGACCUUGCGUUGCGAAGUCGGACACUAAAAAAGGACACACACGAAACCUCUCUCAAUCAUUUUCACUCUAUCUCUUUCUAUUUGAAAUCUCUCCCAAAUCUCUCUCAAUGGUUCUCGUAACUUUUUGAAGUCAUUCGGGUCAUUCCGACCUUUAACCGGGUCAAAAACCACUUAAAAGAGGGUUAAAACGAGUAAAAUACCCUAAAAGAACCGAAAAACCCUUUAUAGGGCCGAAACCUCUUAGGGCCGAACUCCUUGGACUGAAAGCAGCAAAGAACCGAACCCUCUUGGCCGAACCAGAAGGAUGCUCUUGGAACCAAACCUCGCACACACCCGAACCCGAAGUUACUGUUCAUUUCGGUUCAUUUUGCUCUCUCGGCCUAUUUCGCUUCGGCUGCGCUCGGACCGAACCUACCUUCGCUUCUUGGCGUUUCUCUCCUUACUGUUUUGCUUUGUUUCGCCUCUCGGCCAACCUCAGGAGGACCGAACCUCUGGCUAGGACCGAGAGGUCUCGCUGGAAGACCAAUUCUUUUCGGUUUUCGACUGCGACUUCAUUUUAGCUUCGUUUUUCAUGAUUUUAACUCGGGAUUUUCACUCAAACUCGUAUUUUAACAUAAUAAACCCUAAAUAUUCAUAAUUUAAUCAUAUUUUCAUGAAAAUCCUUAUUUAAAUAAUAAAAUCUAGUGGGUGAAUAAUUGAUGUGGAGUGUUGGUUUUGCUUUACCUUAUGACACAAGCAACCACCCCCAUACCCACUCUAUGACCAGCCACACCUUCCCACCUUACCUAGGUCACUUCAAUGUCCUUUCCACUCAUUUACCAGCCCUCCCCAUGUUCUUAGAGCUGGAACAACCCAUCUUCUCUCAUCACUUCUCUCAUUUGCUCUCAUUUCACUAAGGAUCCAACUCCACUUUUCCUCUUAAACUUUCUCCCUCAAAUUCGAGAUUCAAGGCUGAUUAUCAAGCUUUCACACACUCUUGGUAAGUAUAAUUCAUCCUCCUUGUGAUUAUUGCACUUCAUUCUACUCAAAUCAUUGAUUUCUUACACAAAUUCCAUCACUUCGAUGUUAGAUUCUCGAAAAUCUUCAAGGCAUCUUCAAGUGUUCUUGGGUUGAUCACUUCCAUUUUUCAACAACCAUCUACUGAAAUCACAUAAGGUGAGUUCAUAACCCUACAUUUUCAUAUUUUAUUAUGUUUUAAGGAGGAUAAUACAAGUCAAAUCAUCAAGAACACAACUAAAUAUUUCUAACAACUUACAUCAGAAAAGUUGGACUCCAUUCACGGACUGGUUUGGUCAACUAAAACAUUUUUGUUUUCAAAACUAUACCAGGUUCAAGUAGUUAAAGUUCUUAUCUUUAAAAUGACUACUUGCACAUCUCCAUACGAUUUUUCUACUAUGUAUGGUGAUUUUUUCAAAACUGCCUAUCACUUCAAGAACCAAACCGGACCAGUAUGUGUUUAUGGACGUUUUCACGUAAGUUGGAGGUCACUAAGAAUCAUGGAAAAAUUUAUGAACAAACUAGAUUCAUUAAACCAACUCCCAGAAUUUACGGAUUUUGAUUUGGAUCUUUUAUUUAGUUUUUAUAAGUUUCCUAAUAACAGUGAUCGAAGCUGUUAUAAACAGAAAAAUGCUAACAUAUUAUUAUCACCUUGUAUCAUGUUGAGCAAGGUGUAUAUCCUUAUGUGAAUGUGUGUUAUUACAAAAGAAUGAUAUUUUAUCUUGGUGUAUGAACAUGCAUCAGUUAAUAAAUGGAUUUUGAUAUAGAUAUACAUAUGAAAUAUAAAGGAUAACACGAUUGUUAUAAUCAAUGUACAUCCAUUUUACUUAAACAAUUGAACGAACUACGUUGAAUAUAGAUUACGUACGUUACCAUUACUACCCUUGUUUUGAUAAACUAUAAUUGGUAUUGUUUAUGAUUCAUCACUUAACACACUCGUACAAAAAGGGUACAUUCAUACAAAAAGGUUCUACACUCACGCACACUACACGUAAACUUUUUAACUUAAGUGGUGAAACAUUCACUCCCCGUACGUCCGAGUACGGGAUCCAAAUUCCUCUGAGUUAUAACCAAAAUCUCUUGUAGGGAGAGCGUAAUAAUUGUGUAUAGAUCUAUAUUGGGGUUGACAUCCCACACCUCGCUGCUAGCUACAGCCGGACCGGCAGGUCUGUGGGUGACAAGAGUCAUAGGAUCAGGAGGCCUGAAAGACGUUGUGCAGGUUACCUCUAGUCUUAGUAUGGUUAUAGCGAUUCAUAUAGAGAUUUAACAAUAAAUAGAGUUUACGGGAUUUUUAUAAAACAAAAAUGGGUUUAUGUCGAUUUAAAAAUCACUUUUUAUAUCAAUAAGUACGAAUAUUACUGUACACUUUCGGUCUUGGUAUUUAAGACUACACAUCACUCGAGAUUUAGAACUACAUACACAUAUUAAAGAAAAUAUUGGAUUUUCUGAAUACAUAUUCUAUCGCUUUUAUAAGGAAAACGGUUUACUUCUCUAAAGAAAUCUCUUAUGAACUCACCAACCUUCGUGUUGCCACUUUUUCAAACAACUUGUAUUCUCAGGGAAUCACCAAACAGGUAACCAAGUACUUUUGAGGAUGGGACGUUAAGGCGUCAAACUUUUCAUAUUUUUUCAACAUAUUGUAAUUGAUUUUGAAACAUGUAAUUCAUACAGUGAUGUAACUCUUUCAAUUAUAUAUAUGUUGGUUGUGUUUGCUUAAAUUACUAUUGUAAUGGUGGUUAUGAUACUAUACAUGAAGUCCUCCACCCCCGGACGUUUCCGCCAUCUUUGGUUUGGGGGUGUGACACCAGCACACUAACAUGGACUAGUGAGGAUGGCAAAAGGUUUAAACAUAAUCAUUACGACAUCCCUCUUCAUAAUUGUUUAGAUAGACAUGUGAGCUAUUUAAGGAAAGGUGUAUGAUUUUGAUAAAGUUUUAUCAAAGAUCUUGUAUUAGAAAUUUGAACUUUGGUAAGAAAGUCAAUAAAGUAUUGAUUUCUAGAAGUCCAGCUAAUUUAUGGGUACAUGUCAAAGCUAGUCGGAGCAUAAGUGUUAUGACAGUUAAAUUAUAAUUAUCAUGUUAGUGGGAGCAUGAUUAUUAUGUUAAUUGUUGCAAGUUAGCAAUGUUAGUUAUAGAAAAACAAAAGUUUCAAUUAAUUCACUUUGAAAAGUUGUUUUGCUAUAAUUAAGGGAGAGGAUUUUAUACUUCAUUCCAAUUCUACAAGCUUAGAUUGAGAUUUUAAUCAACUUUAGUCAAGGAUAUAUAUGAAUGUUAUGUUGGAAUGGUUUAACAUAAGGAAAUUCUAUAUAUGUUGCGUUCUCAAAUUUUGAUUAUGAUUACGACAUCCCUCUUCAUAGUUCGAAUUAUGAGAACAUGGCAAAUAAUUUUUUUUUUAGCAAAAGACUGAUAAAGUAUCAUGUCUUUAUGUAAGACAUCAUGAAUUGUGNGCCAUCAGGACUACUACAACAUCCGGAUAUACCUGAGUGGAAGUGGGAGCGGAUAACCAUGGAUUUCAUAACCAAGCUACCUAAGACAUCGAGUGGGCUUGACACCAUAUGGGUAAUCGUAGACAGAUUGACCAAGUCUGCGCACUUCCUACCAAUAAAGGAAACCGACAAGAUGGAAAUGUUAACCAGGACAUACAUCAAGGAGA